UACGAAGGGGGCGAGCGUUGUUCGGAGUUACUGGGCGUAAAGGGCGCGUAGGCGGGCUGCCGCGUCCGGGGUGAAAUCCUCCCGCUCAACGGGAGAACGGCCUCGGAUACGGGCGGCCUCGAGGGGGGUAGGGGCAUCUGGAACUGUGAGUGGAGCGGUGAAAUGCGUUGAUAUUCACAGGAACUCCGGUGGCGAAGGCGAGGUGCUGGACCCCAUCUGACGCUGAGGCGCGAAAGCCAGGGGAGCGAACGGG
rnacentral:rRNA from 1 species